rnacentral:rRNA from 1 species
UGUGAGCUCGAUGAGUAGGGCGGGACACGUGGUAUCCUGUCUGAAUAUGGGGGGACCAUCCUCCAAGGCUAAAUACUCCUGACUGACCGAUAGUGAACCAGUACCGUGAGGGAAAGGCGAAAAGAACCCCGGCGAGGGGAGUGAAAAAGAACCUGAAACCGUGUACGUACAAGCAGUGGGAGCACCCUUUUGGGUGUGACUGCGUACCUUUUGUAUAAUGGGUCAGCGACUUAUAUUCUGUAGCAAGGUUAACCGAAUAGGGGAGCCGGAGGGAAACCGAGUCUUAAUUGGGCGUUAAGUUGCAGGGUAUAGACCCGAAACCCGGUGAUCUAGCCAUGGGCAGGUUGAAGGUUGGGUAACACUAACUGGAGGACCGAACCGACUAAUGUUGAAAAAUUAGCGGAUGACCUGUGGCUGGGGGUGAAAGGCCAAUCAAACCGGGAGAUAGCUGGUUCUCCCCGAAAGCUAUUUAGGUAGCGCCUCGUGAAUUCAUCUCCGGGGGUAGAGCACUGUUUCGGCUAGGGGGCCAUCCCGGCUUACCAACCCGAUGCAAACUGCGAAUACCGGAGAAUGUUAUCACGGGAGACACACGGCGGGUGCUAACGUCCGUCGUGAAGAGGGAAACAACCCAGACCGCCAGCUAAGGUCCCAAAGUCAUGGUUAAGUGGGAAACGAUGUGGGAAGGCCCAGACAGCCAGGAUGUUGGCUUAGAAGCAGCCAUCAUUUAAAGAAAGCGUAAUAGCUCACUGGUCGAGUCGGCCUGCGCGGAAGAUGUAACGGGGCUAAACCAU